rnacentral:lncRNA from 1 species
CUCUUCUUAGUACAAAUUAGUACUGAAUGGAGUCUCCCAGUUCCCUCUGGCUGUGACGAUCUAGCCAGGAAACAGCCAAGCCUGGGCAGCCUGGCUGCUGCUGAGUUCUAAAACUACUGUUGGAGCUGCCGUUCUGAGAAACUGUUUUCGCCUGUGUCCCGGGCUUUUGAAGUCGUUGCUCAGGGACGACCCUGACCCAGUGGUCCUUCCGAGCUCACAGACCUGGCUGCAGGAGACUUCCUGGGUUCCUGGUUUGCAGCAGGAGUUUGAGCAGUUAUAAGAAUGCAGUCCAUUUCCCAGCAUAAAUGGGUGAGUGCCACUCUGAAUUGGGCUGGGCUUAAAAGCAAAUGAAAAGCCUUCAAACAACCAGAGAGGAAAUACUCAUCUUUGAGAGGAUAAAGUCCAGAUCAUCCUCUCUGUCCUGACUUGUGUUGGAGGGAAUGGAGUUGCCUUUGAGGCAGAUCUUUUGAACCAGUAGGGCAUCCAUGGGACACCACCUAAUACAUGAAGGUGAGUGCUAUCUCAUUUAGAAGAGUAAUACCCAAAUCUUCUUUUUCUACUAUGUGAGGGUCUUUUUCUGUCUUCUUCAGUGAAAUUUUCGGUCGGAAC